rnacentral:lncRNA from 1 species
GGGAAAGCAGCGCAGAGAUCGCAGAGACCAAGGAGGCGCCCGCGGCUGCAGAGCUGCAGAGCGGGAUCUCUUCGAGCUGUCUGCGUCCGGGCAGCCGGCGCGCAACUGAGCCAGAGGACAGCGCAUCCUUUCGGCGCGGGCCGGCAGGGGCCCUGCGGUCGGCAAGCUGGCUCCCCGGGUGGCCACCGGGACCCCCGAGCCCAAUGGCGGGGGCGGCGGCAAAAUCGACAACACUGUAGAGAUCACCCCCACCUCCAACGGAGUCGGGACCCUCGGAGAUGCGGUGCCCACGGA